GAAGUGGCGAACAAGGAGGGUAGGAGAGAAGCAUCAACGAAUUCACUUCUAAAUUAUGGUGUAUCAGCCACGUAGUCGUUUAGGAAUGAGAGCUACCGAGUUGACUGUGCGGUCCAUCAUUGACAACUUACAGCAAGGCACCGUAAUCGUUUCUGUUUGCAAUACUUUUCUUUGCUUGUGAUAAAAUAAAAGUGUCUUUGGAAAUACGUUUGGAGUGGUAUGUGUGUGGCCAAAUUGUUGCUUUACCAUGGGUAAGAAAUAAUCCAAGAAGUGAUUUAGCUAGCUAAUCUAUUUUUCCUAUUUAUCAAUCUCUUCUCUAGAAUGCUAUGCUGAUUUUCUCACAGAGGACUUUGACGUGAAGACGUACACAGCCCAGGCCAUCCACCAUACUGUCAUCUUAGAACAGCUGGCCAAGCUGGCUCAGGGUAUCAGUCAGCUGGACAAGGAGCUCCACAGCCAGGUGGUAGCCAGGCACGAGGAGCUACUUGCUCAAGCUACUGGGAUUGAGUCUUUGGAAGGUAAUACACCUUUAGCACAUAUUUGUUUUUGUCAUCGUGGCACUUCGGACUUGCUGGAACAGGGGUUCUCAAAGUGGGGUCUGCAGACCCCUCUGGGCUUUUGGCCAAGAGAGCCAUGGCCAAAAGCCACGGAUCCCUGUGUAAUACAAUACAAGUACCGUGGAUACAAUGUAAUAUUAUGUAUCUAAAAUGUAUCUUAUUAACCCUGAACAACAUGGGCCUGGGAGGCUCACAGGGAUAUUGGUAUCCACAGUACUCCACCAAUUGAUCACGCUCUCCACAGCCGAUGUGAGUAAGGCCUUUAAACAGGUCAACAUUCGCAAGGCUGCAAAGUCAGACGGAUUACCAGGACGUGUACUACGAGCAUGUGCUGACCAACUGGCAAGUGUCUUCACUGACAUUUUCAACCUGUCCCUGUCUGAGUCUGUAAUUCCAACAUGUUUCAAGCAGACCACCAUAGUCCCUGAAAGAUUAUUGGAAUCUAUGUGGGUAGCUGGACAGGUAGGAUGACUGGCAAUAGUGAAGGUGAACAGAUGGUCAGGUGACAGAGGAAUGGAUGAGACUGAGGCAGGAAUUCCUUUAACCACAAAGUGGUAUAUGUACUGGUUAGUUUGUCUGUGCUGUAUAACAAAAUAAAGAGAAUAACAUGUACCCAAUAAAAAUUCUAAUCAGAAAGUAAAAUGAUAACAAUCAUUGUCAUUAUUAACAGAAUAAUUCAGCAAUAAGGUUCCAUAGGAAUUCAAUAUGAAGGAGAAUGGAGUCAUUUAUUAUCAUAACCAUGUUAACCAUGUUAAUCCAGAGAAGGAUUAAUGCAAAUAAAUUGUUAAUUUAUACAAUCUAUAAUCUCCAUCAAUUUGAUAUAAGAAUUUAUAAAUUCAGCAAAUCAUUAUGUUUCAUAUUUCAUCCUUCUAGGUUAGUCUUCAUAUGUACAUGUAAUUUCAUUACAUUUUAACCAUAUUUCAAUGUCUGUAGGGCUGUGAUCAUUGGGCAUAUACAUAACACAACAGGUUUGAAGCGUGCGCUCCAAGCCUCGCUCCGCAGUAAUAACUAUAAACAAUAACUGAUGGCCCGCUCUCCCGAUUGCAGCAUAGUUCAGAUGAAAGGUAACAGAUUCGGUGGAGUUACGUUGAUUCAUGGACGCACAGAAUGUCUGGAUUAGACGGAGUUGAGGAAGAGAAAGCAGUGAGGUUGGGCAGUGGCGAUGUCCUCCUUUUACUGAUUUGAGAUCUGUCGGACAUUUCCACCUGACCUAAUUAAAGCGCCCCUGGCCCAGCUGAGCAAGUGGCCAUGAAUUAAAGGACAAUUCCACCAACUCCAUGGGCCUUUCUACAGUCCCUGUGCAUAAAGAACACUAAGGUAACCUGCCUAAAUGACUACUGACCCGUAGCACUCAUGUCUGUAGUCAUGAAAUACUUUGAAAGGCUGGCUCACAUCAACACCAGAAACCCAAGACCCACUCUAAUUUGCAUACCUCACCAACAGAUCCACAGAUGAUGCAAUCUCUAUUGCACUCCACACUGCCCUUUUAAAACAUGUAUUUACAUUUGUUCACCUUUAUUUAACUUGGUAACUUGGUAAGCUAGUUGAGAACAAGUUCUCAUUUAACUGCUACCUGGCCAAGAUAAACAGAGCAGUGAGACAGAAACAACAACACAGAGUUGCACAUGGAAUAAACACACCUGGACAAAAGGAACAGCUAUGUGAGAAUGCUAUUCAUUGACUACAGCUCAGCUUUCAACACCAUAGUGAUCACUAAGCUAAGGACCCUGGGACUAAACACCUCCCUCUGCAACUGAAUCCUGGAAUUGCUGACGGGCUGCCCCCAGGUGGUAAGGGUAGGCAACAACACAUCCGCCACGCUGAUCCUCAACAAGGGGGCCCCUCGGGAAUGCGUGCUCAGGCCCUUCCUGUACUCCCUGUUCAUUCAUGACUCCAACACCGUCAUUAAGUUUGCUGAUGACACAAUGAUGAGACAGCCUAUAGGGAGGAGGUAAGAGACCUGACCGUGUGGUGCAAGGACAACAACCUCUCCCUCAAUGGGAUUUAAGACAAAGAAGAUGUUCGUAGACUACAGGAAAAAUAGGACCGAGCACACUCCCAUUCUCAUCGAUAGGGCUGUAGUGGAGCAGGUUGAGAGCUUCAAGUUCCUUGGCGUCCACAUCACCAACAAACUAACAUGGUCCAAGCAUACGAAGACAGUCAUAAAGAGGGCACGAGAAAGCAUAUUCCUCCUCAGGAAUACUGAAAAGAUUUGGCAUGGGUCCUCAAUCCUCAAAAGGUUUUACAGCUGCACCAUCGAGAGCAUCACUGCCUUUUACGGCAAUUGUUCGACCUCUGACCGCAAGGCACUACAGAGGGUAGUGCGAGCAGCCCAGUACAUCACCGGGGCCAAGCUUCCUGCCACCCAGGACAUAUAUACCAGGCGGUGUCAGAGGAAGGUCCUAAAAAUUGUCAUAGACUCCAGCCACCGUAGUCAUAGACUGUUCUCUCUGCUACCGCACAGCAAGCGGUACCGGAGCACCAUGUCUACUUCCAAGAGGCUUCUAAACAACUUCUAUCCCAAAGACAUAAGACUCCUGAACAGCUAAUCAAAUGGCAACCCAGACUAUUUGCAUUGGCAACACAGACUAUUUGCAUUCCCCCCACCCUCUUUUACAAUGCUGCUACUCUUUAUUAUCUUUGCAUAGUCACUUUAAUAACUCUACCUACAUGUACAUGUUACUCAAUUACCUUGACACCGGUGCCCCCGCACAUUGGCACAUUGACUCUGUGCCGGUACCCCCUGUAUAUAGCCCCACUAUUGUUAUUUACUGCUGCUCUUUAAUGAUUUGUUAUUCUUAUCGCUUACUUUUUUUUGGGGGGGGGGGGUAUUUUCUUUAAACUGCAUUGUUGCUUAAGGACUUGUAAGUAAGCAUUUCACUGUAAGGUUCGGCGCAUGUGACAAUUACAAUUUGAUUUGAUUAUAUACAGUAUAUUUUUUUACAUAAAUCCACUGUAAUUGAAGUUUAAAACGUCAAUGUUUUCUCUCUGCUUCGUGGCAAAAUGUGUAGAAUUGAUGUAUAUUAGCUUUAAAGCACUAACAACAAAAAAUCUCUGUGCCCCAUGACAAAAUGUGUAGAAUUGCAGGAAAUUAGCCAAGAGGCGGCCCUUUUUAAAUAUUAUUUUCGCACUGCAGACGUCACGGUAAAUCUCCUUGUAGACUAUUUAUUUGUGUAAUGAUAAUGAGGUUGUCCCUGAUGAAUUUGCUAUCACAAAAGGGGUUACCAGACCCAAAAAGUUAAAGAACUUCUGUGUUGGAAUAUAUGCUGUCAUUGUAGUGCUGUAGACAUUCCAUAGGGGGCGCUGCCGUCACACAAUUGGAUAUAAGCAUCAGUGCGUCUCUCAGUAUUGAAAAAACAUUUUACCCUGUAUCAGUGGUUAGGUGCGUUAUCUACCUACUCCAAGCCUAUAAGACCGUACACAUCAUCACAGGGAAUGAUCAAGGCAAAAUAUAACUUUUUUUGUUUUUUUAUUUCACCUUUAUUUAACUAGGCAAGUCAGUUAAAAACAAAUUCUUAUUUACAAUGACAUCCUAACUCAGACGACGCUGGGCCAAUUGUGUGCCGCUCUACGGGACUCCCAAUCCCGGCCGGUUGUGAUACAGCCUGGAAUCGAACCAGGGUCUGCAGUGACUCCUCUAGCACUGAGAUGCGGUGCCUUAGACUGCUGUGCCACUUGUGUUCAGAGACCCUCAAUAAAUCCGACCUCUAGUAACAGCACUCAACCUAUUUGUUUUC